UGCCUACGGGAGGCAGCAGUGGGGGAUAUUGCACAAUGGGGGAAACCCUGAUGCAGCAACGCCGCGUGAGGGAAGAAGGUCUUCGGAUUGUAAACCUUUGUCUUUGGUGACGAAAGAAAUGACGGUAGCCAAAGAGGAAGCUCCGGCUAACUACGUGCCAGCCGCCGCGGUAAUACGUAGGGAGCGCGCGUUGUCCGGAAUUACUGGGUGUAAAGGGUGCGCAGGCGGGACCUUAAGUUGGAUGUGAAAUGCCGGGGCUCAACCCCGGAGCUGCAUCCAAAGCUGACGUUCUUGAGUGAAGUAGG
rnacentral:rRNA from 1 species